rnacentral:rRNA from 1 species
AUGGAGAGUUUGAUCCUGGCUCAGGACGAACGCUGGCGGCGUGCCUAACACAUGCAAGUCGAACGAGGACCGGGUGCUUGCAUCCGGAGCCGAGUGGCGAACGGGUGAGUAACACGUGACCAAUCUGCCCUUGGGAGAGGGAUAACCUGGGGAAACCCGGGCUAAUACCGCAUGACGUGCGGCCAUCGCAUGGUGGCGGCACCAAAGGGGGGCCUCUACUUGUAAGCUCUCGCCCAGGGAGGAGGUCGCGGCGUAUCAGCUAGUUGGUGGGGUAACGGCCCACCAAGGCGACGACGCGUAGCGGGUCUGAGAGGACGAUCCGUCACAUUGGGACUGAGAUACGGCCCAGACUCCUACGGGAGGCAGCAGUGGGGAAUAUUGCGCAAUGGUCGAAAGACUGACGCAGCGACGCCGCGUGUGGGAGGAAGCCUUUCGGGGUGUAAACCACUGUCAGGUGGGAAGAAACACGCACGUCCAAACAGGGCGUGCGCUUGACGGUACCACCAGAGGAAGCGCCGGCUAACUCCGUGCCAGCAGCCGCGGUAAGACGGAGGGCGCGAGCGUUGUUCGGAAUUACUGGGCGUAAAGCGCGGGCAGGUGGUCCGUUAAGUCUUCUGUGAAACUCCGGGGCUCAACCCCGGACAUGCAGGAGAUACUGGCGGACUAGAGACCGGUAGAGGCCAGUGGAAUUCCUGGUGUAGCGGUGGAAUGUGUAGAUAUCAGGAAGAACACCGGUGGCGAAGGCGGCUGGCUGGGCCGUGUCUGACACUCAUCCGCGAAAGCGUGGGGAGCAAACAGGAUUAGAUACCCUGGUAGUCCACGCCGUAAACGAUGGGCACUAGGUGCCGGGCCUAUAGACGGGUUCGGUGCCGGAGCUAACGCAUUAAGUGCCCCGCCUGGGGACUACGGCCGCAAGGCUGAAACUCAAAGGAAUUGACGGGGGCCCGCACAAGCGGUGGAGCAUG